AUUGAACGCUGGCGGCAGGCCUAACACAUGCAAGUCGAACGAGUGGCGGACGGGUGAGUAAUGUCUGGGAAACUGCCCGAUGGAGGGGGAUAACUACUGGAAACGGUAGCUAAUACCGCAUACCAUCGGAUGUGCCCAGAUGGGAUUAGCUAGUAGGUUGGGUAACGGCUCACCUGUGCGACGAUCCCUAGCUGCGCUGAGAGGAUGACCAGCCACACUGGAACUGAGACACGGUCCAGACUCCUACGGGAGGCAGCAGUGGGGAAGAUUGCACAAUGGGCGCAAGCCUGAUGCAGCCAUGCCGCGUGUAUGAAGAAGGCCUUCGGGUUGUAAAGUACUUUAAGCGAGGAGGCGUUACUCGCAGAAGAAGCACCGGCUCACUCCGUGCCAGCCGCCGCGGUAAUAC
rnacentral:rRNA from 1 species